CUUAGCAGGUCUUAAAAUAAGGUAAACACAAUGUCAGAUGUACAGCACGUGACAUAUUAAGCAAAAAUAAAGCCAGAAUGGAGGAGCCAUGUGUGAAAAACUGACUAUACCCUCACUGCUUCCACAGGAAUUAAGAGGCUGGCGCUGCAAAUAAAAUGCCCUUGAUUAAUUGAUCAUGAUGUGACCAUCUCUACAAAAGCUGAAGUUUUAGCAAUUUGGUGGUCUGAAACAUUCAGGUGUGUGUAAACACAAUGCCAAAGAGGAACGACAUAGCAAUGCUCUUAGAGAAGCAAUUAUUGCUGUCCAACAAAC